rnacentral:rRNA from 1 species
GACGAACGCUGGCGGCGUGCCUAAUACAUGCAAGUAGAACGCUGAAGGAGGAGCUUGCUUCUCUGGAUGAGUUGCGAACGGGUGAGUAACGCGUAGGUAACCUGCCUGGUAGCGGGGGAUAACUAUUGGAAACGAUAGCUAAUACCGCAUAAGAGUAGAUGUUGCAUGACAUUUGCUUAAAAGGUGCAAUUGCAUCACUACCAGAUGGACCUGCGUUGUAUUAGCUAGUUGGUGAGGUAACGGCUCACCAAGGCAACGAUACAUAGCCGACCUGAGAGGGUGAUCGGCCACACUGGGACUGAGACACGGCCCAGACUCCUACGGGAGGCAGCAGUAGGGAAUCUUCGGCAAUGGACGGAAGUCUGACCGAGCAACGCCGCGUGAGUGAAGAAGGGUUUCGGAUCGUAAAGCUCUGUUGUAAGAGAAGAACGAGUGUGAGAGUGGAAAGUUCACACUGUGACGGUAUCUUACCAGAAAGGGACGGCUAACUACG